rnacentral:rRNA from 1 species
UACGUAGGGUGCGAGCGUUGUCCGGAAUUACUGGGCGUAAAGAGCUCGUAGGUGGUUUGUCGCGUUGUUCGUGAAAACCGGGGGCUUAACCCUCGGCGUGCGGGCGAUACGGGCAGACUUGAGUACUGCAGGGGAGACUGGAAUUCCUGGUGUAGCGGUGGAAUGCGCAGAUAUCAGGAGGAACACCGGUGGCGAAGGCGGGUCUCCUGGGCAGUAACUGACGCUGAGGAGCGAAAGCGUGGGGGAGCGAACAGG